GAUUUUUAUUUAUGUAUUUUUUUAUUACAUUUAUAUCUGCAUUGAUGUCAAAACAUAGAGACUUUGGAACAUCAACAUGUCAUUUAUUAAUAUGUAUUUGUGUCAAAAUGUCAUAAAACAUCUUUUCCCAUUCUAUUUUGGCUGGAAACACUUCCAACACGCUUGCUUUUCGUUAAAAUUU